UCCUGACUGACCGAUAGUGAACCAGUACCGUGAGGGAAAGGCGAAAAGAACCCCGGCGAGGGGAGUGAAAAAGAACCUGAAACCGUGUACGUACAAGCAGUGGGAGCACGCUUAGGCGUGUGACUGCGUACCUUUUGUAUAAUGGGUCAGCGACUUAUAUUCUGUAGCAAGGUUAACCGAAUAGGGGAGCCGAAGGGAAACCGAGUCUUAACUGGGCGUUAAGUUGCAGGGUAUAGACCCGAAACCCGGUGAUCUAGCCAUGGGCAGGUUGAAGGUUGGGUAACACUAACUGGAGGACCGAACCGACUAAUGUUGAAAAAUUAGCGGAUGACUUGUGGCUGGGGGUGAAAGGCCAAUCAAACCGGGAGAUAGCUGGUUCUCCCCGAAAGCUAUUUAGGUAGCGCCUCGUGAAUUCAUCUCCGGGGGUAGAGCACUGUUUCGGCAAGGGGGUCAUCCCGACUUACCAACCCGAUGCAAACUGCGAAUACCGGA
rnacentral:rRNA from 1 species